UAAUUCAAAACCCAUCAUUUUGUAUGUGUAGCUGGGAUUAUUUUUUCCAUUGUGCAUUAUUAUCAACUACACUGAAUUUCAUCUGCCAUUUUGUUGCCCAGUCACCUAGUCUUGUGAGAUCCCUUAGUUAAUUCUAAAGCUGAAGGCAAAGAGUUACAAUCUUGAGUAAUUUUGCAUCGUGUGUGAAUUUUAUCACCUCACUAUUCACCCCUUUUUCCAGAUCGUUUAUGAAAAUUUGUCUGUUUUCAUUUGCUGUGUGCAGAUAGAACAUCAAGUAGUGGGUAUACUUGGUGCUUUAAGAAGGCCAGUUUCCAAAGGUGAAAGCCAUCACGUGCUAAAAUUGAGUGGGAGGAAGUACUUAAAUAUAAUUCCCAUUUUUAUGUUUAAGAACUCUUUAUUAGAUGCUUCAAAACACAUAAUUCCGCAGUCAAGAAAGAAGGCUUAUUUGAUUUUAAAAAAUCCUGUUUUGGAGGGGAGGUGAAAGUAAUAAAAAUUAGUAAUAUAUAACAAAACAUUAGGGAAGCUGAAAGCAAGGAGUACCUGUCAGCACACCAGUUAGGAAUUUUAGACAGUUAAGAGAAGCUAAAGAUGCAAGUGGAAAAAAAUCUAUGGCCAGUAGGGUCAAGGACAAAGAGUUCUUUAAAUAUAUUGGGAACAAGCAAAAUUCUAGCAAUAGGUCUGAUGCUAGACAAAGAUGAUAAAUCAUCAAUCAUAAGGCAGAAAAGGCAGAAGUAUUUAAAUAUUUCUAUUCAGUAUUUGAAAGAAAACAGGAUAGUGUAUUCUUAUCUUAGUGAUAAUGAAAUACAUUCUGUUCAGUCAGUAAAUAAGGAGUAUGUUAAACAGGAACAGUUUUUAACAUUUUAAAAUCUGCAGGACUGGAUAACUUGCACCACAAAUAUCAAAAGAAUUGAUGGAAAAGCUCUGAUCCAUUAAUGUUGAUUUUUAACAUCUUAGAACACUGGAAUUUCCAGAGGACUAGGAGAAAGCUAAUAUUGUGCCAGUAUUUGAAAAGGGUAAAUGGCAAGAUCCAGGAAGCUAUAGGCUGAUUAGCCUGACAUUAAUCACAGGCAAAGUCAUGGAAAGAAUGGUAUGGGACAAAAUCAGUAAACAAUUAUGAGGUUGUAGCAUAAUUAAUACUAAUCAACAUGGCUUAAUGGAAAAUCUGUCUUGUCAAAAUCAGUGUCUUUUGAUCUAAUCAAAUAAUACUAAUUUUGACAAGUUUGGUUAAUAAAUUGUUGACAUAAUAUACUUAGACUUUUUUAAGGCAUUUGACUUAGUCCUACAUGUCAUUUUAAUUUUGGGAGGAAAAAGUACUAUAUAAAACUAAUAUAGCUCAUAUUAAAUGGAUUAAAAGCUAAAUUACAGAAUACAAAAAGUAAUUGUAAAUUGAUGUGUUUUUGUUGGGGUCUGGCAGGUCUCUGUUCAUGGUCCAGUGCUAUUUAAUAUGUUUAUCAAUGAUCUGGAAGAAAAUAUAAGUGCUGGUAAAGUUUGCAGAUGCCACAAAAACUGGAGUGAUAAAUAAAGAUGGGGAGAGGUCAGUCUACAGGCCAAUGUGGAUCACUUGGUGGUAAGGUUGACUUAUUCGAACAUGCUUUAAUACAGCCACUGCAAGUUCUAAAUCUAGGAACAAAGAACAUAGAUUACAUUUAUAAGAAGGUGCACUGUAUUCUGAGAAGCAGCAACUGUGUAAAGGGCUUAAGGGGUCAGGAUAGAUAAGCAAUUGAACAUGCCACACAGCAUUGUGGUGUGAAAGAGAGCAAAGUACUACUGAAGUAGGAGUAGGGAGGUGGUAUUACCCUUUUGUAUAGGGCAUAAGUGAAUUGGGAGCUGAAGGUAAACAAAUUCAGACUAGAAAUAAAAUGCAAACUUUUAAGUGAAGGUAAUAAUCCUAAUAGUUAGUUUUACCUUGGGAAGUAGUAGAUUCCCCAUUUGAAAUCUUUGAGAUCAAGACUGAACCCCUUUCUAAAAAAUAGGGUAUAGGUCAAAUAGGUAUGAGCUUGAUGCAGAAAUUAUUGGAUGAGGUUCUUUGGCUUGUGUUAUGGAGGAGAUCAGACUAGAUUAUAAUACAGUCCUAGUUUUUUAUCUCUCUGCUGUUUAUACUUUUCCCAAGAUGCACUACAAUAGAAUUGACGUGAUGUUGUCUAAACAAUUCUGAUUAUCAGCAGUGCAGUUCACCAGUCUUGUUAAUCUUACUCUGAUGUUGUUUAGGAAUCAGGAAUACAGAACUGCAUUGGUUUGCAUUUGGAAGGUUGGAUUCUGUAUAAAUGGAUGAGUUUAGACUUUCCUUCUUCCAGGAAGGCUUCCCACUUGUCAUUGAUAGAUAGGAGUGAUAUUUUGCGGUCCAUGGAGUCUGCUGGAGGUUCUUAACUCCGGUUAAUUGUCAGUGGAAAACUUGAUUCUUCUUCGAGUGCUGUCCCUGUGGGUGCUCCACUCUAGGUGAUGCUGCGUCCCGGCACCGUUGAUCGGAGAUCUGUAGUAGCCGUGUCUGGUUGGGACACACGCGCUCAGUUGGUAUCUCCCGUCUCAUUAGAAUCUUCCUGAGCGCUUGCAUCCUGCACCCUCCUCAGUUCCUUCUCAACCGUCCUCGGCUGAAGAUGGGGCUCGGGGCACUGCUGAUCCUCUUCCCUGGUUUCUGAAGGAAACAAUUACAAAGAACAUAAAAAUAGUUAGUAACAUCCCAGUUGUUUCCCUUCCUUUAGAAUAGUUACUUAGUUUAAAAAAAAAACAAAAACAAAAACAAAAAACCCCCCACAACUUUUUUCUUCAAGUUUGUCUCCCGCUGAGACACUCUCCCCUGGCAUUACUAGCGCAAUAAUGCCAGGGGCUUCAGGAUUCAGGAAAUGUGCUUCCUGUCAGGACUUUAUGCCAAGGUCCAGUGGACACUUGCAUUGUGUGAAGUGCCUCAGCGAGACACAUGUCCCUGCCAAGUGUGUCCACUGCACGAACCUCAAAAGCAGGGCUUGUGACAGGGACCUGUGGCUGAAAAUGCGUCUCAUGCAGAAAUCUCUGGAAAUGGGCAAUGGCAAACCCUCUCCCUCAGGCUCCCCGGCCAGGUCCCAACUGACCGGGAGCCCAGCUUCACCCUCUCUGGAGCACAGGCAAAAAGCUCUGCAGCUGCCUAUGGUGAAGGGCAGUAAACCCUCUCCCUCAGACUCCCCUGUCAGGUCAGAACUGACCGGGAGCCCGGCUUCACCCUCUCACAUGAAGAGGCAAGAAGCCCUAAUGUCUCCUCUCAGAGACACUCAAGAGGGUAAAGGGUCUCCCGCAGGGUCUUUACCCUGGGUGUUGUCAGCGCCGAGAGCAGGCAACUCUGACCACCCCUGCACUUCACAAGCAACUCGCAGGGGGCUCAAAAGCGGGGACCCAACUUCCCCCAGUGGGAAGCUCUCCUUGGCACCGGUUCCCCUGGCACUGAUAAUUGACCCAGUGCUGACAAUGCGUUCCACCCUGGUGCCAUGUUGGCACCAAGCCUGCCUGCCCCCCCCUUCCCCCCCCCCCCCCAGCAGAUUCAGACCCCCUGUGGGGCUCUCACAAACAGCUGUUGGCUCCUGCAAAAGUGAAACUAAAAUUACUCUGGGCUGCCGCUCACACUUCAGGCUUUGCAGCACACCAGCCUAGGGAGCAGCAAAAAUUCCUGCAUCAGCAGGAUAUCUCUGUGGCCCCUAAACCUGACUCUCUGCUCCUAGACAUGGAGCACUCAUUGAUUGAACGGCAACUCUCACUACCUGACCUGGAUACUUUCACUGAUAGUGAGAAUGGCACACAGCAGCAGGCACAGUUCUCCCUGUCUUAGUCUUCCCCUUGACUGGAGCCAUACAUACCCCAAGACAUGAGGCAUCAUAAGAAUCAGCCUCAGUUCCCCUACUUUGUUCCCCAGUGGCUGGGACCCAACUUUUUCCUACCCGGUGCCUUGGCCUCAGUGGUACCCAUGGUCGGCUCCUGCCACUGCUCCUCCUUGCGCCCUUUCUACUGGACCACAAGCUCGUACUACACCUAGAUCCCCAGCUCUGUCAACAUCUAGAGCUCCUGAACCCCCUCCUGAAGACAUGGGAUAUGAACCCUUCCCGGAUUUACCGGCUCCUGUCUUGCUAUCAGUCGCAGAAGUCGCCCUCAUGCCUCCACCUCCACAGAAUGUGGACGCCUUUAAGCAAUUCCAGGAACUUUUCAAGAGACUGGCACUCAUCCAGGACAUCCCUUUGGAGGUAGUCCAGGAGACACAACAUAGGCUUCUCAAAAUUCUCCAACUCUCUGCACCUUCGAAGAUCGCACUACCCAUAAACGAAGCUCUCCUAGAACCAGCUGGUACUCUCUGGUGGACCCCUGCCUCCAUUCUACCAAUAUGCAAGAAAGCUGAACAUAAAUACUACGUGCCCGUGAGGGACGUCGAUUUUCUUAUUUUCCCAGCCACAAUUCUAUUGUGGUAGAUGGAGCAACGCAGAGAACAAAGCAGCCACACUAUCGGCCCACUCCGCAGGACAAGGACCUCAAAUGCCUUGACCUUCUGGACCACAAGGUUUAUACCUCUUCUACUUUACAAUUUAGAAUUACAAAUUAUUCCGCCCUUCUUGCAAGCUAGGACCGUGACAACUACAACAAGCUCUUUGAUUUGCCUCCCGUAUACUGGAGGACAGGAGAGCGGACUUCAAGUUAGUCCUCGUCAAAGGUCAGUUGGUGUCUAGGAUGGCACUACAAGCAUCCAUGGACAUGGCUGAUCCAGCAGCCUGCACCACUGCAGUGGUGAUGCGCCGCUCUUCCUGGCUCUCGGCAUCCGGUAUCCCCAAAGAUUUGCAGUCCAAAGUGGAGGAUCUCCCCUUUGACAAAGAUAAACUCUUUAAAAAAACAAACCAAACAAAAAAAACCAAACGAUGAAGUCCUUCACACUGUGAAAGACUCUAGAGCCACUUUGUGCACAUUGGGCAUAUACCUAUUCAUCCCCAGGAGACCAUGGUAUCAGCCUUAUCAGAGGCCCAGCGCACAACAAUAUCACCGACCCCAGUCCAGACUGGAUGACACUGGGAAAAACCGCAACAGACCUCCUAGGUGCAGGCAAAACCAGGCACAACGGACUACUUCCCACCAUCAGGUAAAAAACAAUUUUGAAGUGCUGGUCGGGGGUCUGCACGACCACCCCUUGACUCUGCCACCUAUUUGCCCAUUUGGCUACCGCCUUCAAGCUUUCCACCAUGUCUGGCAACAGAUGACGCAGGACCGCUGGGUCCUGGAAAUAGCUCAGUCAGAUUACUCCAUCCCUUUCCUAUCUUCCCCGCCCACCCUUUCCCCUUCCCAGUCCCUCUUUGGGACCCCUCUCACGAGCACCUUCUCUGUGUGGAGAUAGCUCAUCUUCUCGACCUUGGUGCAGUCGAACACGUACCGACGCAACAUCAGGGAAAAGGAUUCUACUCCCACUACUUUCUAACCCAAAAGAAAGGUGGGGGGUGGAGACCUAUAUUGGACCUACACCGACUCCACUCCUAAGACUUACCUGCAAAAGUGGAAAUUCUUCCCCAUCUGGUGCUUCCCACAGAUGCCUAAUACUCCAGACUGCAACCCUCUCUGACAUCUUAGACUAUCUUUUUUGGACUAAAACAGGACAGGCUUUCGCUCAGUUCUAUCAGAGUACACCUCCUGGCCCUUACCACCUUUCAUGACACUCUGGACGGCUAUUCACUUUCACCCACCCCACCAUGAAACGCUUCCUCACAGUCCUGCAAAAUCUCUACACUGAGAUUCAUUCACCAGUAGCCUCCUGGAGUGUCAACCUAGUUCUCCGCGCUCUUAUGAAACCCCAUUUCGAGCCCCUGGCCACCUCAUCCCUGCACCACAUGUCCAUGAAAGUGGCUUUCUUGGUUGCGAUAACGUCAACAAGAAGGGUUGGUGAAAUAAGCACCCUGAUGGCCUACCCUCCCUACACCAUUUUCUCUAAAUACAAGCUUACUAUACAAACCUGCUCCAAAUUCCUCCCCAAGGUGGUGUCUACCUUCCACCUUAACCAGUCAAUACACUUACCUGUAUCCCAUCCCAAGCCUUACAUGACUCCACAGGAAGCUGCAUUACAUACCCUCGAUUUCUGACGGGCUCUUGCAUUCUAUCUUGACAGAACUACACCAUUUCAUGAAUCCCCUAGGCUAUUUGUUUCUACUACCAAGAGCUCAAAGGGUGACGCUAUCUCUAAGCAAAGACUCUCCAAGUGAAUCUCGGUCUGCAUCAGAUCCUGCUAUCGGACCCAAAAUGUUCAACACCAGAGGGUGUUAGGACUCAUUUUACUAGAGCAAUGUCAAUAUCUAGCCUUCCUCCACAACGUGCGUGUUACAGACACAUGCAAGGCGGCCACGUGGACAUCUGACCACACAUUUGCCAAACAUUAUGCUAUCACAUGGGAUACCAUGGCAGACACCAUAGUCGGCCAUAUGGUACUGUCUACCAUUGUCCCUCACACAACUCCAAAAUCCCACCAACCAUAGUGGGUACUGCUUCACAUUCAUCUAGAGUGGAGCACCCACAGGGACAGCACUCGAAGAAGAAGAGAAAGUUACUCACCUUGCAGUAACUCAGGCUCUUCGAGAUGUGUGUCCCUCUGAGUGCUCCACUCCCCGCCCUCCUCCCCUCUACUUUGGAGUACUAGUAUGGUUUCUCCAUGGUACAGAAGGAACUGAGGUGGGUGCGGGACGCACGCGCUCAGGAAGAUUCCAACGAGACGGGAGAUGCCAACUGAGCACGUGCGUCCCGACCAGGCACUGCUACCGAAGAUCUCUGAUCAACAGCGCCAGGACGCACCGUCACCUAGAGUGGAGCACCCACAGGGGGACACAUCUGGAAGAACCUCAGUUACUGCAAGGUGAGUAACUUUCUCUUGUGGCUAUCAUCCAUUAUGGGGAGCUUACCAAACUGCCAUAUUGUGUGUGUUACUUUGAGAUAGUGUAUUUGGAACUUUUAAGAGGGAUGUAGUUAUAAUGUGGUCAUUUUACUUGCAUAGUAAAACUCACUGCAAGGAUAAUUUUUUUUAAUUAUAAAAUUUUGGUGUUCUGGAGCUUUUGUGAUUGUAGUCCUGUGGCGUUUUUAUAUAUAUUUUUUAAGUAGCAAGAAGGAUUAAAAUCUUUGGCAUGAGCAACCCAGUUGUGUUUUGGUGGAUUUUUAUUGUUUAGCCCAGGCUGUUUAAGAUGCCUCUGAGCAAUAAUGAAAAAUAAGCAAUUCUAGAGAAUUAAAUAACCAGGCUUUAAUGGAUCAUUAGCUCUCUGCCUACACCCCUCUCCUUUGUGCUGUCUCUCCCUCCUCCCCCCCCAAAAAUAACCCUUCUCGAUGAAAUCCCUUCAAGGGAGAAUGGUAUGUUGGGGACACUAGGAAAUGUAUCUGUGUAUUUGUAUUCUGAAAAUAUAUAACCACCACAAACCUGAGAUCUCUAGAUCUCUUGUAUCAGCUUUGAGUGUGGCCCUUAAGAAGAUAGAGAAAUCUUGGGAAAUAAUCUUAGGAUAAAAAAUUGAUAUAAUGUAAGCAAUAUCUACUUGAAGAAAUAGGUAAUUAAUUACAUUGUUAAUCAGUUGCUUGAGACAGUGUUGCAUUUUAUAUUACAAUAUGCAUUUUAAUAUUCCUAAUAGCAUUUUUGAGAGGUAGAUAUAUAGUAUAUCCUUUGAAGGAUUUCUGAGCUAAAUGUGAUCCAGCUGUGCUCCUCAGGGGAUGUCGUCUUCAUCUCAGAAAUGUAUUAUAGAAUGGAUGUAUCAACUUUAGGCUCUCUUGUUGUGUAUUAUCUAAAGAGUGCUUAUAAUACUGAUAACUUUCAUUGCUGUUGUGGUACUUAGUUUAGUUAACUCUUUUAUGUUUACUGUUAAUCUUGCGUCUUCUAAUGGUGGCCAUAGUUAGCUGGUUAUAACCAUUGUUGGGUGAAAACUAAGCUUAUGACCAUUCACUCUCAGGUGUCCCAUUUCUCUGGGGACUAAUUAGAUGUUGUCUUGUCUUUCAAGAUAGCUUGGGCAACAAGACUGAUUUUCCCUAAAGUAAUCACACAUUUGUCAUCCUCCCAGCUUAGAGCAUCUGUGAGAGAGUCGUCUUAUACCUCAGAUCCACAGUUCUGUUAAUAGAUCCCUUGUUAAGCUUACAGAGACCCACUUGUAGGAUAUGGCACUCCUGGUGUUGAGCUGUGGAACUGCCUUGAAAAGCUGUCUUGUAUGCACAAGAGAGCUUGUGCGAGGUGAAAUCAUUGCACUACUUUCUAUAAGGGAGUGACCCCCACCCCUCAGUUCCUUCGCCAGUAGUGCAGUGUUAACAGAAUUCACCUUUCUGCCCUCAGGGUAGACUUUUCCAUAGUCUAUCUUAUUUUCUUCAGUUAGCUUGUAAACAGUAGCAUAGAAUAGUUUAACUUACAUAGCCCGCCCUUCUCCAGAGAGCCUUUGGCCUCACUGCGAUCAUGUUGAGCCCUGUAGGGGCUUUAAGAGAUGUGCCUGUUAUCCAUGAAUCAUACCAAAGACCAACUCCCAUGUUCAGUGCCUUCUGUGUCUGGAUGAGACCCACUUGGUAACCCAUUGUGCAAUUCUGUUCUAUAUAGGUCUUAUACCAUGCUCAUCAUGAUAGUACACCUCUACCCCGAUAUAACGCGACCCGAUAUAACGCAGGUUCGCAUACAAAGCGGUAAAGAUCCGACACGCUGCUCUGAGCAGUGUGUUAAGGGUGCCGAGCUGGGCCGGGGCUGAGGGGUUGGAUAAGGGGCUGAGGGUCUCAGGGGCGGUCAAGGGCUCUCCGACCCCCCCCCCAAGGUCUGGGAAGCAGGAGCUGUGGGGGGGCACUUUUGGGGGCCCCGCAAUCCCUAAUCCUGGGGGAUUAGCAGGGUGCUGGGAGCAGCCCACUCCUCUUCCCUCGCCCUGGCCCCAGCCGUGUCGCUUGGGGGAAGGGAUCCCUCCCGCACUCACUGGCAGCGGCGGAAAUGAAGCAGCCCAGCACACUCCACCAGCUCCCAGCCGCGACACUCCGCUUCCUGCCACAGGUGAGUGCGGGGGGCGUCCUUUCCCCAACCUCCCUGCACUCACCGGUGGCGGGAAGCGGAGUGCCAUGGCUGGGAGGUGGUGGAGUGGAGUGGGCUGGGCCGCGUUGCUCCGCUUCCUGCCGCUACUGGUGAUUGCCUGUCGGGGGGCGAGGGGUGUGGAUAGGGGUUGGAGCAAUCAGGGGACAGGGGGUAGGGGGUGAGGUCCUGGGGGUGAUUAGGGACGGGGGACUCUGGAGGGGGCAGUCAGGGAACAAGGAACGGGGGGGGGGGCAAAGCAAGUUCGAUAUAACGCGGUUUCACCUAUAAAGCGGUGAGAUUUUGUCUCCCGAGGACCACGUUAUAUCGGGGUAGAGGUGUAUCUGAGUGAUAUCCAGUAAUAUAUUAAGUAUUGUGACUAACGUCUGUCACAUGUUUGUUCUCCCAUUCUCUCCUUAGGGGGAGCAGUGUAUGCAAUGGAGUGUCUUUGUUUUGGUAGUGUUUUGCUGUGCCUUCACUCCCCGCACUAGAAAGGAGAGACACUUGAGGCUCUUGGCUCUGUAUCUUGGCAGACUCUAGGCCUGUUGAGAAUACCAAGAUUAGCCUCUGUGCCAAGGUCCUCUGACCCAAAAGGAGGUGGUCUGCUCUGGCCUCAGCACUGCCUUCUAUCAUGUGCACAAGACUGAACUCUCAUCUCCCUUACACUGGGAGCAAAUCCUUUGCCGAGCACGACGGGCCCUGGCUACAUCUAAAGCAGUACUGAAUACCAAACUGACAUCACCCAUUUAAGUGUUCACAUAAUCAUGUUACAUCUGACCUUGGUGGUAAAUAAACAUUUAGGCAGUCUAAGGAAUCUGUCAAAUUUAAAAUGAAGGAUAUAGCUUAAUUCCCUCCUUUGUAAAGCUCUCCAGCUAAAUUCCUUUCUCUCCUCCUUCCUGUCAGGGUAGUUGAGUGCUAAGAAUUUGCUCCCAGUUCACUUGUCUGUAAAUUCCCUGGUGAUAAAUUUGUGACUGUUUCUAAUGCCUUCAAAUUAUAAGCUACCUACAGUCCUUUUGCAGAUACUUCCUGGAGAAUGCUCCCUCAUUUGUAUUUCCAUACAAGAAAUCAAAUAAGUCAAUAAAGUAAUGUUUUUUCUUGAGAUACCCUACAGAUUUUCUUUUAUCUGGGAUAUGUGAUCAAAUGCAGUCCUGUCCUUACCAGUCUCCACCAUAGUUGAAUUUUGAACUGGAAUUAGAAAUUCGAGGCCAAAAAUCUGUUGUCUUUUAGCCUCAUAGUACACCACUAGAUGGUGCCAGUAUCUAGCCAUCUAGUUAUUUUUUUUCCAAGUGAACCAUGGAGAUUCAAGGUGCUCAAUAGGAGGUAUCUUUUUGAAGACCCUCCUAAAUUUAAGUAGUCAUAGAAGUUAAAGUGGACAUAUUGGAAUAGGUCACAAAGUCCAUCAUUCUACCAAUAUUCAGUUAACUACAGUAUGUUUUCUAGUGCUUUCUCUAGUCUAGUUUUAGAUGUCUCUUUGGAUGGUACCAUCCACAUUUUAUCCUGAGGAGAAUAUUUCACAAUCUAAUAGACCUUGUUGGAAGGCAGAUUUUCCUGACAUUCAUACUAAAACUUGCCCUUUCUUAAUGUAAGCGUACUUAAUAUAUUGUUGAAGGCUAUUUUCCAUAGUAAAAGAGGAAGUUGUCUUAUUUUUUACCUGUGCCAACAAAAUAUUUUAUAAUGCUAGGAAUUUCAAUGAUUAGCUUUAGUAUUAGUGACUUAAUAUUUAAGGAUACUAAAUCUGACUAUUGUUUACAGGCUGUAACUCUGUCCUGUUGACAUCAUACAACCAUAUGAUUAAGUAUUUGAGUAUUUGUAGUCUCAGGUUAGAUUAAACUGAUUUUUAAAACAUGUUAGAUUUCUCUUUCCCUCCCCUGAAUGGUAUUGCUAUAUGGCACAGUUCUGAAAGUACACUUCCAUGCUUCAGCAUAUUUGGAUUUCUUUAAAGUUUAACCUUAUCUCUGUAUUUCCUGUGUUUAUGCUGUUUGGUUUUGGAAAAAGUACAAUACCUGCAUUUAUUCUUAAUUACUGAUAUGUACUCUCAAUGUAAUUUUUGUGUGAAAAUUCCCUUUUUUUUUUUAAAUUAAAAUGUUUUAAUAGCCAUUAAAUGUAGAGAAUGUUUGUAUAUUUAUAAUGCUUUAAAGAGAAUAUAGUAUCCAUGUUAAACCAUUUUUUGUAAAUUAAUUUAUGACCAGAUUCACUGGUAUGCUUUAGCUUAUUUGUGCUAUGCUGUCAAGAACCACGGUUUUCCCUGGAGACAGCUUGGCUUUGCUCCCCUAGGAAACAGUGAGAAGUGGUGGCAUCUUUAAUGAAAACACAUCUACAGUCUCACUGAGAGCAAUAGAAGAUGAUGAUUAUUUAGAAAGAGGGCAGUUCUUUGUGGAAUUCUCUAUAACAGCACAUUUUCUCCAUCAGCAGUGGCUUAUGAGUACUUUCUGUUAUGAAGAAUGAAAGCAAAAAGUGAUUAAUCUUUUAAAAAAAAUUUCAGAUGUAGCUCAUGCAUGAGAUACGAAUGAGUUUUGACUAUAUGGGAAGUUUGAGUGUGCAAUGUUCUGUUAUUAGGGACAAAACAGUGGCCUGACACAGAUCCUAAAUUUCUUAGAGGACCAGUUUUCAAUUAGAAUUUUGUUUAAACUAAUGGAUUGACUUGUAAAUUCUCAUAGGAUUUAUUCUGUACUCAGAGUAAAUGUUAUUUUGUGUAGGAUAUCCUGUGUGUUUCAUAUAUAAUAAAGGUAUUGAAUCUCUUCUUUAAGUGUAAAACUCAGCUCAUUCUUAACUAUGGAACCAUAAGCGGCGCUUUCUUAAUGUUUGCUAGAUAUAUAACAAACAUUAUGAAUUUAUCUCUGUGGUAUAGAAAUAUACUUAAUUUGUUUCAUUGCUAUGGUGUAGAUGCUGAUCAAUGACUAACCCAAAGAACAGAGAAAGGGUAUUCAAGUUAAAGUUCUGCUGUAUGAUUGUUUUUUUUUAACCUAGUAGACUUAUUCCUUAAUGUUAAUCUUUCAGAAAUGUAGCUUUCAUCAUUCUCAAGACUUCUAGUCUGCCUUUGUAAGUUCACUGGGUUUCUUUGUAUUGUUUCUCUUUCCUCACUGCUGUACUUUCCGGCAUACCUACUGUGUGAUUGGAGCUUGAUUGAGCCCUUCCAUCAGAACGGUCUGGCCAUCCCUCCCAACCCUUCUCAGCUGACACUGCCCACUUGAGGGAGAGUGCACUUAAUGCACACACACAAGGGUGUAGAGUUAAGGUUUCACAGCUAACUGUAAAUCUGGUAUUUCUGAGUGUUUGUUUGAAUUUGUAAUCUCAAUAACAUACUUAAUAUUUUUGCAUGUAAUUUCCUACUUUUUAAAAGGAGAAAAAGGUAAAAACAAAUUGUACUGUGUGCAAUUGUAACAAUCCCUCUGUCAUGCAUCAUCAAUGGAGUUUAAACCCUGAACCUUCAGCACUGUAAUAGACUUCAACCACUUCAUUUAAGGGAGUAACUAUAUUAACUGGAAGCAGGAGAAGGCUGCAUCCUAGAAAGGAGGAAUGGGCCACUGCGACUAGGAUGUGCUUAGGGGGAGCUUGGGGUGGUUCUGUUCCCCCUCUCUCCAACAUGACAUCUGCUCCACCAGUCCCCUAGGUGUUCCUAGUACAUUGUGUUCUGUUGCUUUGAUGCCAGCAUGAACGAAGCACUUUAGAACGUUCGUGUUCAGCUGUUAGUCUGGUGAGCUGCCAAAGUUCUCCUGAAGAACACAAGUGAAGGAAGAGAAAUGGUGAUUUUCAUAAGUUUAUAUCUCAGCAAAAUCUGAAUGGAAUUUCAGGGGACAAAGAACAGCACUUCUCUAGCCAAAGGGCUUCCCCGCAUGCUGAAUUUCAAAGGUCUAAUGCAAACGAGAGAGUUGCUAGAGGGCAGGAUCAGACAAAACGGUACCGUCAGGAGGUAGAAGCAAUGAUAAGCGCAGAUCCUCAAAGACAGCAUCGGCCCAACUGCUUAGAUACAGUGUACCAAGCAUCUAAAUUACUCCCAUUGUGCUGCCCCCCAUUUCUCUAGUGAGGAGGAGGAGGAAAAGGACAUUUAUUCAGUUUCCCCACAGACCCCCCCGCCUCCCUCUCUUCACAUAGGGAGCUACACAAGUCGACCUUUUUGCUUGGACAGGGCAUUAUGAAGCUAGAGGUGACCAACAGGCUUGGUACAGACACCCAUGGGUGCCUCAUCCAUGUCUUUUCCAUUGCCUUGGCCCUACUGGGACCCAUGGACUGCAUACAGGCAGCAAUUUUCCAGGUCCUCCAGCUCCCAGAGAGAGAGGCAUUCCCCGUCAUCCUUAAUAGUCAGACCCCCUGAGCCUGAAAGAGAAUCUUUUAAGGAAUAGGAAGAGAGACAGGAUAAAGAAACUAUGCCUGCAACCAAUAUCUCUUCUUCUUCAUCAGACAAAGCAGUCAUGCCUUCCCCACCAACAACAGCAGAUGAUUUCCAGGAUGCAAUUCUAGGAGCUGUUCAGGAGAAUAGCAAAUUCUCUUUAAAUUCCAUUGGAGGAAUUGAAAGAAUCCCAGCAUAAAUUACUUGAUAUACAGUAGAACCUCAGAGUUACAAACACCAGAGUUAUGAACUGACUAGUCAACCGCACACCUCAUUUGAAACUGCAAGUACUCAAUCAGGCAGUAGCAGAGACCAAAAAACCAGAAAUGAAGUACAGUACGUUGUUAUAUGUAAACUAC